rnacentral:tRNA from 1 species
UCCCUGAUAGCUCAGUUGGUAAAGAAUCUGCCUACAAUGCAGGAGACACAGGUUCGAUCCCUGGGUUGGGAA